AAAAUUUCUUGGCCUUUUGGCUUUAAUCAAGUGUAGUAUCUGUUCUUAUCAGUUUACUAUUGUAGUUUUUAUUGUAUAGAUCUUUCACAUUUUUGUUAAAGCUAUCCCUAAGUAUUGUAUUGUUUAUGAUGUUAUUGUGAAUGGAGUUUUGUGCGGGACCACUCUGCGUGGGAUUGGAGACUGUAGCCCCA